rnacentral:lncRNA from 1 species
AUCUGGGUGACAAAGGGGAAUACUCAACGGUAGGGCUGGGACAGGCUCAAGGUCCACGGGCACUCCCCACCCGCCCGGGAGAUGGGUCCCAUCUGGGGCUGGGGCUGGACUGGCAGGUCCGGGUGUCUGCCCGGAGAAGCACAGAGAGAUCACAGCUCCACUACUCCAGGUCCAAGGUUGUCUCCCAGCUGUGGUGAGCCCACUCUUUAACCAAAUCCUUGCUUCCUGAGGGCCUCCAGCCCUCCCCUGGUGGGCAGCCCUCCUUCCCUCACCCCAGGGCAUCGUGUUCCUUUCCCCCCGUGUCUCCUGCUUGCUGCGGGGAGCAAUUCCUACGCUUCACCCUGUAGAAACCUACAUUUUGCCACUGGUGUAGCUGAGCUGUCUGCGAUAUCCCACACUACACGAGUGGGGCUCCAGCAGCUGCCCCGCAUGGGAGACUGCAGCUCCUGCACUGGUACUCACAGCCCCGUGCAACUGGGACAUGGCCAGCUCCUGGAUGGCAUCACGGCCUGGGAGGUGGCAGAGGUUCUUGGGCUGCCGUGGGGUUUGGCAGCGAGUCAACCUGGGUUUAGCCCCUGAUUUUCAAGGUUGAGGAGGGCCAACAGGCAGAACCACUUCCCCCCCAGCUCCUGCCUGGCUCUCUUCUGUGGCCCCUCUGCACCUCAUGGCAGGGUUCGUUCUUCCAGGUGUACUUUUGUGGCUGGCUGACUCUUUAAAAAUCCAGAGCUGGAAGGAAACUUGAAGCAUUAUCCAGGUGAUCCCUUUGCGCUGCUCCAAGACUGCUCUCCAGCCUUCCCUGAAGAUGUCUCUCCAUCCCUCGGUGUUAAUGCCUCCUGUGUUGUCCCUGCAGACACUGAACGGGCGGUGGAAAUUCUAAGCAGAUACCAGAGCACCCUGCAGUCCCCGGAGGAGCAGGAGCUGAAAGCCUCCAUUGGAAAAGUCUCGCACAUCUUUCAAAGUGAACUCUUCCAGGCUCUGCUGGAUAUUCAUGAAUUCUACGAUCUCACGCUGCGCUCUGCGCCCCUGCAGCCUCCCAGCCCGGAGGCACGUGGUGGCACAGCCAGGCAGCGGCGUGGGGCCGGCGAGCCCGGCUCUGCCAUCGCACCCAGAGAGCCCCAAAACCUCCCCGAGGUAAGAGCCUCCUCUGGCACCACGCUGGGGGGUCAGACCCUGCACCAGGAGGGAGGCAAAGGGGCACGGAAGGCUGCUGCCCACCGCAGCUCCCCCCCAGAGCGUUCCUACACCUCCCCUCUCAUAGCUUGUCUCAUUAAUAAGGCAACUUCUGUGGUUCACAAGUGUUAAUUGAAUUACUCCUGAUGCAAAUAGCUUCUGCUCCAGCUCUGGUUCCUGCUCUGCCGUUGCAGCUGGAUUAGUUGCUCCGUCUGAUGCUGUCUCCCACGGAGACGUUUCGGCUCUCUGAUCCAGCCACCUCGCAGGCUGCUUUUGAUAAGUGAAGUAGGUUGAGUCUUUUAAGUUUCCCUAUUCAGGAUUUUUUUUUUUUUUUUGCUUUCCAGCUCUCAGAUAAUUUCUGUCUCUCUUAUUUGCAUUCUUUUCAAUUUUCAACAGCCUUUUAAAAGAUACGGCACCAGGUGGGGAGGCAGCAAUUGAGCAGUGGGGUCUCAGUUAUUUCAAAGGCACCAAGGUAAAUAAAAUUGCCUUGUGCCUUCUCA